rnacentral:rRNA from 1 species
AGUCAAGCAAGUAAGGGCUAAUGGAGGAUACCUAGGCACACAGAG